rnacentral:rRNA from 1 species
UGGGGAAUAUUGCACAAUGGGCGCAAGCCUGAUGCAGCCAUGCCGCGUGUGAAGAAGGCCUUCGGGUUGUAAAGCACUUUCAGCGAGGAGGAAGGUGGUGAGCUUAAUACGCUCAUCAAUUGACGUUACUCGCAGAAGAAGCACCGGCUAACUCCGUGCCAGCAGCCGCGGUAAUACGGAGGGUGCAAGCGUUAAUCGGAAUUACUGGGCGUAAAGCGCACGCAGGCGGUUUGUUAAGUCAGAUGUGAAAUCCCCGGGCUCAACCUGGGAACUGCAUUUGAAACUGGCAAGCUAGAGUCUCGUAGAGGGGGGUAGAAUUUCCAGGUGUAGCGGUGAAAUGCGUAGAGAUCUGGAGGAAUACCGGUGGCGAAGGCGGCCCCCUGGACGAAGACUGACGCUCAGGUGCGAAAGCGUGGGGCAGCAAACAGGAUUAGAUACCCUGGUAGUCCACGCUGUAAAACGAUGUCGACUUUGGAGGUUGUGCCCUUGAGGCGUGGCUUCCGGAGCUAACGCGUUAAAUCGACCGCCUGGGGAGUACGGCCGCAAGGUUAAAACUCAAAUGAAUUGAC